ACACCAAGUCGUUUAUUUGCUUU
rnacentral:miRNA from 1 species